UUUCCAGACUCCUACGGGAGGCAGCAGUAGGGAAUUUUCGUCAAUGGGCGCAAGCCUGAACGAGCGAUGCCGCGUGAGUGAAGAAGGCCUUCGGGUCGUAAAGCUCUGUUGCGGGGGAAAAAAGGCAGCAUCAGGAAAUGGGUGCUGACUGAUGGUGCCCCGCCAGAAAGUCACGGCUAACUACGUGCCAGCAGCCGCGGUAAUACGUAGGGAGCAAGCGUUGUCCGGAAUUACUGGGCGUAAAGGGCGCGUAGGUGGGCGCUUAAGUCAGGUGUGAAAACUCCGGGCUCAACCUGGAGACUGCACUUGAAACUGGGUGUCUUGAGGGCAGGAGAGGAAAGUGGAAUUCCUAGUGUAGCGGUGAAAUGCGUAGAUAUUAGGAGGAACACCAGUGGCGAAGGCGACUUUCUGGACUGUACCUGACGCUGAGGCGCGAAAGCGUGGGUAGCGAACGGGAUUAGAUACCCGCGUAC
rnacentral:rRNA from 1 species